rnacentral:rRNA from 1 species
AAGGUGGCCUGUGAGGGUUGCUGGAGGUAUCAGAAGUGCGAAUGCUGACAUAAGUAACGAUAAAGCGGGUGAAAAGCCCGCUCGCCGGAAGACCAAGGGUUCCUGUCCAACGUUAAUCGGGGCAGGGUGAGUCGACCCCUAAGGCGAGGCCGAAAGGCGUAGUCGAUGGGAAACGGGUUAAUAUUCCCGUACUUGGUGUUACUGCGAAGGGGGGACGGAGAAGGCUAUGUUGGCCGGGCGACGGUUGUCCCGGUUUAAGCGUGUAGGUGUGUGUUCCAGGUAAAUCCGGUUCACUUUAACACUGAGGCGUGAUGACGAGGCACUACGGUGCUGAAGCAACAAAUGCCCUGCUUCCAGGAAAAGCCUCUAAGCAUCAGGUAACAUCAAAUCGUACCCCAAACCGACACAGGUGGUCAGGUAGAGAAUACCAAGGCGCUUGAGAGAACUCGGGUGAAGGAACUAGGCAAAAUGGUGCCGUAACUUCGGGAGAAGGCACGCUGACAUGUAGGUGAAGUGAUUUACUCAUGGAGCUGAAGUCAGUCGAAGAUACCAGCUGGCUGCAACUGUUUAUUAAAAACACAGCACUGUGCAAACACGAAAGUGGACGUAUACGGUGUGACGCCUGCCCGGUGCCGGAAGGUUAAUUGAUGGGGUCAGCGCAAGCGAAGCUCCUGAUCGAAGCCCCGGUAAACGGCGGCCGUAACUAUAACGGUCCUAAGGUAGCGAAAUUCCUUGUCGGGUAAGUUCCGACCUGCACGAAUGGCGUAAUGAUGGCCAGGCUGUCUCCACCCGAGACUCAGUGAAAUUGAACUCGCUGUGAAGAUGCAGUGUACCCGCGGCAAGACGGAAAGACCCCGUGAACCUUUACUAUAGCUUGACACUGAACAUUGAGCCUUGAUGUGUAGGAUAGGUGGGAGGCUUUGAAGUGUGGACGCCAGUCUGCAUGGAGCCGGCCUUGAAAUACCACCCUUUAAUGUUUGAUGUUCUAACGUGGACCCGUGAUCCGGGUUGCGGACAGUGUCUGGUGGGUAGUUUGACUGGGGCGGUCUCCUCCUAAAGAGUAACGGAGGAGCACGAAGGUUGGCUAAUCCUGGUCGGACAUCAGGAGGUUAGUGCAAUGGCAUAAGCCAGCUUGACUGCGAGCGUGACGGCGCGAGCAGGUGCGAAAGCAGGUCAUAGUGAUCCGGUGGUUCUGAAUGGAAGGGCCAUCGCUCAACGGAUAAAAGGUACUCCGGGGAUAACAGGCUGAUACCGCCCAAGAGUUCAUAUCGACGGCGGUGUUUGGCACCUCGAUGUCGGCUCAUCACAUCCUGGGGCUGAAGUAGGUCCCAAGGGUAUGGCUGUUCGCCAUUUAAAGUGGUACGCGAGCUGGGUUUAGAACGUCGUGAGACAGUUCGGUCCCUAUCUGCCGUGGGCGCUGGAGAACUGAGGGGGGCUGCUCCUAGUACGAGAGGACCGGAGUGGACGCAUCACUGGUGUUCGGGUUGUCAUGCCAAUGGCACUGCCCGGUAGCUAAAUGCGGAAGAGAUAAGUGCUGAAAGCAUCUAAGCACGAAACUUGCCCCGAGAUGAGUUCU